UAGGGAAUCUUCGGCAAUGGGGGCAACCCUGACCGAGCAACGCCGCGUGAGGGAAGAAGGUUUUCGGAUCGUAAAGCUCUGUUGUAAGAGAAGAACGUGUGUGAGAGUGGAAAGUUCACACAGUGACGGUAACUUACCAGAAAGGGACGGCUAACUACGUGCCAGCAGCCGCGGUAAUACGUAGGUCCCGAGCGUUGUCCGGAUUUAUCGGGCGUAAAGCGGGCGCAGGCGGUUUCAUAAGUCUGAAGUUAAAGGCAGUGGCUUAACCAUUGCUCGCUUUGGACACUGUUUAACUUGAGUGUAGAAGGGGAGAGUGGAAUUCCAUGUGUAGCGGUGAAAUGCGUAGAUAUAUGAAGGAACACCGGUGGCGAAAGCGGCUCUCUGGUCUGUAACUGACGCUGAGGCUCGAAAGCGUGGGGAGCAAACAGG
rnacentral:rRNA from 1 species